rnacentral:rRNA from 1 species
UACGUAGGUGACAAGCGUUGUCCGGAUUUACUGGGUGUAAAGAGCGCGCAGGCGGUCGAUCAAGUCGAGUGUGAAAGCCCCCGGCUCAACUGGGGAGGGUCAUUCGAAACUGGUCGACUCGAAGGCAGGAGAGGGUAGUGGAAUUCCCGGUGUAGUGGUGAAAUGCGUAGAUAUCGGGAGGAACACCAGUGGCGAAGGCGACUUCCUGGCCUGUUCUUGACGCUGAGGCGCGAAAGCUAGGGUAGCAAACGGG